UACGUAGGGUGCAAGCGUUGUCCGGAAUUAUUGGGCGUAAAGAGCUCGUAGGCGGUCUGUUGCGUCGGCUGUGAAAACCCGGGGCUCAACCUCGGGCCUGCAGCCGAUACGGGCAGACUAGAGUUCGGCAGGGGAGACUGGAAUUCCUGGUGUAGCGGUGAAAUGCGCAGAUAUCAGGAGGAACACCGGUGACGAAGGCGGGUCUCUGGGCCGAUACUGACGCUGAGGAGCGAAAGCGUGGGGAGCGAACAGG
rnacentral:rRNA from 1 species